rnacentral:rRNA from 1 species
ACGCUCGACACUACGGGAGACAGCAGUGGGGAAUAUUGCACAAUGGGGGAAACCCUGAUGCAGCGACGCCGCGUGAGCGAAGAAGUAUUUCGGUAUGUAAAGCUCUAUCAGCAGGGAAGAAACUGACGGUACCUGACUAAGAAGCACCGGCUAAAUACGUGCCAGCAGCCGCGGUAAUCUGAGCGGGCUGGCAAGGC